CUGGAGCUUGACGACCAUAUUUGAAGUGGGUAAGAAGCUGCAAAGGGCCACCUUAAGAAGAUCGCGCAGAGAGUGUGUUCGGGAGAUUGAAGUUCAGAGCCAUAUCACCACAGGCGUUCGUUAGUGGCUGCAUAAACCUGGAAGUUUUCUGAAUUUAAAAUCCGUGAUUCUCCUGCGACUUGUUAAACUAAAAGGGAGAUGCCACUGUGUUGGAAGUUUGACUUCUCAGACUUCCAUGCUGUGAAAAGCCCAACCUAACCACACGGAGGAGCACUGAGGCCUUGGCUAACAGCUCCUGUUGAGCUCCCAGCCAGCAGUCACCCCCAGCUCUCCAGCCAUGUGAAGAAGGCCAUCGUGGAAGUGGAUUCUUCAGCUUCUACUGUAGUUACUUUGGGUGACUCUAUGUAGAGGAGAGAUAGGCUGUUUUCUCUGCUCAGCUCUGCCCAAGUUGCAAAAUACAAUACACGGGCCUAGCCGCUCCGCGGCAUGUGGGAUCUUCCUGGACCGGGGCACGAACCCGUGUCCCCUGCAUCGGCACGCGGACUCUCAACCACUGCGCCACCAGGGAAGCCCUGUCAUUGCCAUCUUUACAGAAAUCGGCAGAAUAGUAAAGCAUCUAGGAGGAGAUUGGUGGUGCCUUCUAAGGGAAGACCAGGAGAGUCUGUCUCUCCCUUCUGAAGCUCCGAGAGUGUCUGGAGUAUGCAGGCCUCUCACUGUUGUGGCCUCUCCUGUUGCGGAGCACAGGCUCCAGCCACGCAGGCUCAGCAGCCAUUGCUCACGGGCCCAGCCGCUCCGCGGCAUGUGGGAUCUUCCCGGACUGGGGCACGAACCCGUGUCCCCUGCAUCGGCAGGCGGACUCUGAACCACUGCGCCACCAGCAGGAUCCUUUGGGAAAAAAACUGUUGGAACUUCACACUGGAGAACUCAAUGUCCCCUUUGAACCCCUCAGGAUGAACACGACAUUCUGCUCACAGCCAGAGGACCCGCAGGACUGGAUCCGCACCUCACCUCAUUUCACAGCCAUUGUUCCUGCGAAUAGGUCUCUCCACAGACCCGCCCCCCCCACUCCUUUCACCUGCUCUUCCUUCAGGCUCAGCUGUCAUCACUUCCCCAGGGACGCCUUCCCAACCUCUCAAGGGCUGCACUUUUCAGUUGCAAUUUUUUACUAAUUGACGUAAUAAUCUGAUUAAACACGAGUCUUCAUGUAGAAUGUAAUUUCCCAUGGAGGCAGGGACCACAUUUCUUCACUAUCACAGCCCUAGUGCUUGGUUCUAAAUACCUGUCCUCAGGACUUCCCUGGCGGUGCAGUGGUUAGGACUCGGUGCUCUCACUGCCGGGACCCCAGGUUCGAUACCUGGUUGGGGCACUAAGAUCCCAUAAACCGAGUGGCAAGGCCAAAACAAAAACAAAAACAAAAACCUGCCCUCGCCUCCAUAUGGCAGGUGUUGGCCAUCAAGCAGUCUUCAGUCAGAGAAUAUGCAGGGUGCUCAGAUAGACCAGAGCUUUGUAAUUAUACCUGGGAGUUCCAUUCAUUUGUUCAUUCAUUCAUUCAUGAUGACAAAUGUAGUUUUAAGUGCCAUUUUGAGCUGUUAAAUUCUGGGCCUAGCUGGAGUCAGCCAGCACAGCAGGCACCGCUGGUAAUGGUUUGAACAUGUCUGAACACUUGGCAUGCCUCACUUCCCUUGGCUCAAUCAAAAUAAACAUCUACUGAACAUGAACUCGGUGCCAGACGUGCCCCUUGUCCUUAAGCAGCUGUGAUCUAGGGAGGAAAGACAGACACAAAACAAGUGACUACAAGUUUAUGAGUUUUACCACGGGGCAUUCGAGUGUGCCAUGGAGACACAGAAGAGGGGGUGCAAGUCUAGUCUAGGGGUUCAGGGGAAAGCUUCCCUGCAGAAGGAAUAUUUGAGCUGAGGUUGAGGAUGAGUAGGAGAUAGAAUAGGCCCUAGGGAGCAGUCCAGGUGAAGGCCAAGGUGAACUUCAGAUGAUAGGGCUAUUUAAUGGGCAGUAGGGAGCAUCCAGUUCAGCCUAAUUCUCCUCCUGUGAGUUGGGGCUUGGCCCAUCCAGCCCGUAUCCAUCCUCUCAGGGGGCGGAUGCUGCACUAAACGGGAGAGGGAGUCGAGUGGCCUGUGUGUGGGUACCUCUCGGGGCCCCCUCCUCUGACUCAGGCAUCACAGGAGCUGUUGUGAAUUCAGCGCCACUCUUGUUGGAGCAAUAUUAAACAUCAUCA